CAAACCAAAGCUGGCGACCGGCGCACGGGUGAGUAACACGUAUCCAACCUGCCUCAUACUCGGGGAUAGCCUUUCGAAAGAAAGAUUAAUAUCCGAUAGCAUAUAUUUCCCGCAUGGGUUUUAUAUUAAAGAAAUUCGGUACGAGAUGGGGAUGCGUUCCAUUAGUUUGUUGGGGGGUAACGGCCCACCAAGACUACGAUGGAUAGGGGUUCUGAGAGGAAGGUCCCCCACAUUGGAACUGAGACACGGUCCAA
rnacentral:rRNA from 1 species